rnacentral:rRNA from 1 species
UGGUGAGAUAGUGGCUCACCAAGGCGACGAUGCAUAGCCGACCUGAGAGGGUGAUCGGCCACACUGGGACUGAGACACGGCCCAGACUCCUACGGGAGGCAGCAGUAGGGAAUCUUCCGCAAUGGACGCAAGUCUGACGGAGCAACGCCGCGUGAGUGAUGAAGGGUUUCGGCUCGUAAAACUCUGUUGUUAAGGAAGAACACUUGAGGUAGUAACUGGCCUUGAGAUGACGGUACUUAACCAGAAAGCCACGGCUAACUACGUGCCAGCAGCCGCGGUAAUACGUAGGUGGCAAGCGUUAUCCGGAAUUAUUGGGCGUAAAGCGCGCGUAGGCGGUAAAAUAAGUCUGAUGUGAAAGCCCCCGGCUCAACCGGGGAGGGUCAUUGGAAACUGUUUUACUUGAGUACAGAAGAGGAGAGUGGAAUUCCAUGUGUAGCGGUGAAAUGCGCAGAGAUAUGGAGGAACACCAGUGGCGAAGGCGGCUCUCUGGUCUGUAACUGACGCUGAGGUGCGAAAGCGUGGGGAUCAAACAGGAUUAGAUACCCUGGUAGUCCACGCCGUAAACGAUGAGUGCUAAGUGUUGGGGGGUUUCCGCCCCUCAGUGCUGCAGCUAA